CAUAGCAGGUCUGGCAACAUCUGUUGAGAGGGAAACAGAGUUUAACAUCUCAAGUCCAGUGGACAUGAAGCCUCACUGAGUAUCUUCGGUGCUUUCUGUCUUCGACAUAUAGCCAAGAAUUGCCACUUGGCCAGACAUGGAAUGGGAGACUGAAGCUUGAAAGGAACAAGACGUUAUUGAAGAAGAAAUACUUAAUCUGAAGCUUAUUGUCAACAUGUUGAGAUAACAGCUUCAAGAUGGGAUCUGCGCAUGGAGAGGGACCACAUGUUAGUUGCUUGUAGCUAUGCCAGGGAUAAGGGGUGAAAUUUUAUGGUUGCCAAAAGACCUCAAGAAUCUUUUCCAAGUGGCAUUUUUUCUGCGUGAAACUGGCAGAACUUGUAAUUGAAGAAUCUGUACCUAGGUACCUUGUACCUAAGAUGGUGCCAUAAUUAGUGACAUGCAGACUUUUCACUGCACUCACGGACAGGCUUCUACCUUCAGGAAAACAUCAAACUAAGGCAUGAGUAUUUGAAGUGUUAUUUGUAGUACUGGCUUCCAAAUAGUUUUUAAUGUCUGAAAAUGGCAAGCCUACGCACACGGAAUGUUACAGAAUAGAAAGAAGCUAUUUGGUCCAACUGGUCCACAUCCGUGUUAAUGCUCUGCAUGAACCCCUCAUAAUCCAUUUUAUUCAACUUUGUUGGAGUAUCUGUUUACUUGUUUCUCCGUUAUGCUUUGAUCUAGCUUCUGUUUAAAUAAAUCUAUCUAAUCACCUAAAAUGUUCAAUGUAGUUGCAAGUUGCACGUUUUUAC